rnacentral:sRNA from 1 species
GGAGGUACGACCAUCACCCGUCCCAUCCAUCUCCUCUGCUCCAAGAAGCAAACACCAAGAAACAAAGAGGGAGGGAGAGAGAGAGAUAGAGGGAGAGAGUCCUUUUCUCUCACCAGCUCUCCUUUCAAGCUCAGUACGGUGGCCGCUCACCGGAUCCAAGAAGAAAACCUCUCUUCCGUUUAUGAUUCUUUCUCUUGAGUUCUUGAGGUUUUAUUUGGUUUUUCUUUGAGUUUUUACUCGUUUUUCUCGAUUUCUCGAUUUCGAUGACUCGGAACUAAAUAGGUUCUCUAAUGACAAGUAAGAGCAAGAAAUUUCUAGCACGGAGAAGCUCUCAUGAGAUUGACAGAAGAGAGUGAGCACACGGCGUGAUGGCCGGCAUAAAAUCUAUCCCGUCCUCGCCGCGUGCUCACUCCUCUUUCUGUCACCCUCUUUCUCUCAGGGCUCAACUCCUAUCCAGAUCUAUUAGCAGGCUUACAAAAUCACUAAAUUACUUUGAUUUGGUGUUACUCAAUUUGAUUGUUAUGAUCUAGCCUUUUCCUCCAAAGAAGCACUAGAAACCACCCCUUAUGCUUGGUAGAGAGAAACCUCAUGCUUGGUACAGAGAAAUUCAGCCACAAGAAGACAGAGAACGCAUGCUUGAAGUACUCUGUCUUUUCUCCCACACUUUACCCUGUCACCUCCUUAUCUCUUAGAUGUGCGUAAAAUGCAUAUGUUUACCCCUGUUUUUCUCAAUCUUUUUCAGCCGUGCUGUCGCCGGAACUACUACCGAGGAGAGUGAUACGGAUGCUGGUGAUAAUGUGGUAGUACUACUCCUUGCGUUGGGAGCUGAAGCAUGGAGAUGCUGCCAGUACACUGGAGCACUGUGGUGAUUCAUCAACAGGAUUAACCGGAUCUUCUCUCUCUUUCUUCUUCUACCCCAUCUCUUCUCUUCACUUCUCUCUUUGCUCUCUUGUUUUUCAGCUAAAGCUCCUUGUGCAGGUUGUUGGCCAUGGUGGUGGGGUUCAUCAAGUUAUUGCUUGGUCAAAAAUGGAGCAUGGAAGAGGCUAACAGAUGACCCAUAUUUGGCAUGCAAGGUUGUUUCGCUAUGCGUUUGCCAGAUCUGGCUCGCAUCUUAGAUAAAGGUCAUCAUUCAUGUUUAAUGGCCAGCAAGGCAGCAACUACACCAUUAAUUUCCACAAGGGAUUGGGAUGAGAUAUGAUUCAAGCUGAUGGAUGCUUUACAAAAGUCACUUCAUGUGCUUGACAUGCAUGCGCGUGCAGUCCCAUUCUGAGAGGGCCUCAAUCUUGGCGCGGCUGGAGACGGACACUGUUGAAUAAAUUGGAACUGAUCGAAGGCUCGAAGCACAGAUUAUACUAGUAUACACGAGUUCUAGAUGGAUGCAUGUUGUUAGCCUCCAGAUAUCGUGUUUAUGUUCUUCCUGUCUCUACAAAAUCUUUUCUCUGUAUCCUCCAAUGUACAGUUAUGCUUUUUUAUUUAAUUUGUUUUGAUUUCUGUAUGUAUAAGGAUUGCCUCAUGAUCACAAUAGUGUAUAUGUUGUAUAUAUCUAUCAACAAUGUAUACCAAGUUUUUCCACAUAACCUUAUCUGAAGCAUCCUUUAAUAAUUC